ACAUACAAAUAUGACUGACAGCACAAAAGCAAUCCAGAAGAAACAAAUUAUUUGGGACAAUAGCUGGCCUAAAAACUAGAUGUACUUUAUCUCAAAUGUCUCAUCGGUUCAAACUAUGGAUUGCGUUAUCAAUACGUAACGGGCGGUACGUACCAAUUUGAGAGCUUCUCAACAUGUGCAUCACUCGCUACCAAGUGAUACUAAUGUUUUGACUUGGUAUCGAGCAAUACAGGAUUGUAUCGGGUGAUAACGGUUGAAAUCUAAUCGUUACCGACUUGUACCAAAUGAUAAUGAUCGAAAAUUGACCGUUAUCGACCUCUACCAUUCAGUAAUAGUCGGAUUUCAACCAUUACUGAUUAAGGACUAAGAUCACCCUAUUUCAAACGAUCAAUUUGACCAAUGGAGACAAUCUAAAGAGUUUUUAAAUCCUUUUCUCCCCAUUCUUUCAAUUCAUUUCUUCGCUCUCACAAUCUCUUAAACUCUUUUUCACUCAUGUUUCUCUCUUUUAUUCUCAUAUUUUCACUCUUUUAAAAUUAACAAUGCAACAAUUUAUGGAUUACAUCAAAUUUAUGAGACUAAUUUUGAAGGAAUAAGAUAAAGAACUUUUUAAUGAAGAGGUAUGUAUUCUCUUUUUAUUUUUUUAUUGAUUUAUGAGAUGAUUAAGCCUAUUUUAUGUAAUGUAUGACUUAAUGUCUAAUAUGUGAUUUCAUAUAUUUCUGAUGGUAGAAUAAUGUUAAUUAUGAAAUAAUUAAGGUCUUUAAUAUUGUGAUUAAUAUGUUUAAUAUUAAUUUAUUUGAAAUUAGACACUUAAUACAUCAAAUAUUUAUAUUUCAUGUAUAUUAAGGAUUGGAUCAUAUUCUUGUGAUGGUAUAAUAUAUUUAAUUUAAUUUUAAUUAAGUUUUUAAUGUUAUAUUAUUAAUUUUAAUGAUAAUUUAAUCAAAAUUUAAUCGAUAUUGGGUCAAUUUAAUGUCUUUAAUACCUAUUAGGAUGCUGGAUAUAUUUAUAGUAUUGAAAGAGAAAUAAUUAGUGAGUAAUUAACUAUAUUAAUAGUGUGAUUAGUAUAUCUAAUGAUGAUUACAUUAUAAUUUAACCUAUAUUGGAUCAAAAUUAUAUAUUUAGUAAUUUUUUUAUGUGUUUAACAUAUUUAUGAUGGUAAAAUAAAGUUAAUUAGGUUUAAUUAAGUUUUUUAAAGCUAUAAUUAAUGGAUUUAAUGAUGAUUUAAUUAUAAUUUGAUCGAUAUUGGGUCAAUUUAAUAUCUUUCAUAUAUAUUAGGGUGUUAGACAUGUUUAUAAUGAUGAAAAAGGAUUAAUUAUAAAUUAAUUAACCAUAUUAAUAUUAUAAUUAGUGUAUCUUAUUAUGGUGAUAUCCAAAAAUUGACUUUUAUUGGGUCAAUUAUAUAUCUUAAUGUGUAUUAGAUUGUUUUACAUGUUUAUAAUAUUGAAAGAUAAAUAAUUAGUAGGUAAUUAACUAUAUUAAUAGUGUGAUUAUUGUAUCUAAUGGUGAUUUCAUCUUAAUUUAACCUACACUAGAUCUAAAUUAUAUAUUUAAUUCUUUUUUUAUGUGUUUAACAUAUUUAUAGUGGUAAAAUAAAGUUAAUUAGAUUUUAAUUAAUUUUUUAAUAAUAUAAUUAAUAAUUUUAAUGAUGAUUUAAUUAAAAUUUGAUCGAUAUUGGGAUAAUUAAAUAUCUUUAAUACUAGUGUUUGAUAUAUUUAUAACGGUGAAAUAGAACUAAUUAGGGUUUAAUUAAUUAUGUUAAUACUAUGAUUAGUGGUUUUAGUGAUGAUUUAAUGAUAUUAAGUUAAUUCUACGUAUUUAAUGUAUCUUGUUAGGGUUGACAUUAUGUAUAAUGUAUAAUUGUAACUUGUUAUUUUAAAUUAUGGGUAAUCGUCAAAUUUAAAUCAAAUAAUACGUAAUGUCAUAAUAAAUCAAAGUAAGAUGCAUUAAAUACGUAGAAUUAAAAAGAGAAUGUUAAAUCAUCAUUAAAAUCGCUAAUCAUAAUACUAACAUAAUUAAUUAAACCCUAAUUAAUUCUUUUUCACUAUUAUAAACAUGUCAAAUACCCUAAUAAGUAUUAAAGAUAUUUAAUUAACCGAUAAAAUUUUGAUUAAAUCAUCAUUAAAACUACUCAUUACAAUAUUAAAAAAAACUCAAUUAAAACCUAAUUAACUUUAUUUUACUACAUAAAUAUAUUAAACAUAUAAAAGGAACAUUAAAUAUAUAAUUUUGAUCCAAUAUUGAUCAAAUUACAAUGAGAUCAAUUGGAUACCGUAAUCAUACUAUUAAUAUAGUUAAUUACCAAUUACUUAUUUCUCUUUCAACAUUAUAAACAUGUCAAUCACCCUAAUAAAUAUUAAAGAUAUUGAAUUGACCUAAUAUCGAUCAAAUUUUAAUUAAAUCAUUGUUAAAACCACUAAUCAUAAUAUUAGUAAACUUAAUUCAAACCUAAUUAAGCCUAUUAUACCAUCACAAACCUACGAUCCAAUCCUUAAUAUGCAUAAAAUAUAAAUAUUUGACAUAUUAAGUAUCUAAUUUCGAAUAAAUCAGUAUCAACAUUACCAAUCACAACAUUAAAAUCCUUAAUUAUACCCUAAUUAACACUAUUAUACCAUCAAAAGCAUAUCAAACAAUAUAUUACACAUUAAGUAAUAUAAAAUAUAAAAUAGAUAAAAUCAUAUCAUAAAUCAAUAAAAAUCUAGAAAGAGAAUACAUAUCUCAAGAUUAAAAAAAUUCUUUCUCUUAAUCCUCCCAAAUUAGUCUUCUAGACUUGAUCCUCAAAUCAUUGUUUUGUUAAGUUUAAGAGAAUGAAAAUUAUAAGAAUAAGAGAGAGAAAUGAGUGAAAAGGAGUAUAAGAGAGUUGAACAAAUUAUUAGAGUGAAAUGAAUUGAAAGAGUAGGGAGAAAAAGGUUUAAAAAUCAUUUAGGUUGACGGUAAAUUGAUAAAUUGAAACUCGAUAUAGGUUAAUAACGAUCGAAACCAAUCGUUAUCGCUUGGUAAAGGUCGAUAAUGAUCAAAAUCGAUAAUUACCAUUUAAUACAAGUCAAUAACGAUCGAAUUUUGAUUAUAAGAGGUCAAAACAUUGGUACCAUCGGGUAACAAAAAAUUGGUACCGCCUGGUAGCAAAAUAUCACUGACAGCACAAUAGCAAACAUCAAGAAACAAAUUACUUGAGAAAACAACUGGACCAACAACUAUAUGUAAAUUGCUUCAAACAAUAAUAAUAUACCCAAAAAAGAAAAUACUUCAUAUACAUAAAUCCAUGAUAUAGCAAAACAAGAAAAUGCUUCAUAUACAAACGGGAUAAAGUUUAUCCUGUGGAAAAGUCAUUAAAAUAAGAAAUCACAACUCCUACCAGAUUUAGCUUCAUAUCAAGUUGCCCCCAAAGAAUUGAUUUCAGCCCAAAUUUAAUCAAAGAUUUCAAUUCGUUACAAAAUGGAGCUUUUAGACAUUCAUUUACCAGACCAACUAUCUCAUUGCCAUAUUUUUUCCACAAAAUUAUUUUUAACAGUAUGAUAAGAUUCCUUUAAAGUACAUAAAAUAAAACAAAGUUGAAGACAACGUGUGAACAUCACAUCAGAAGCUUAAAGUGAUCCAAAUUUCAAAAUAAAUAUAGCUUGUAAAAAAUAGAGAAAGCAUACCAAACACGUAAACAAUUAAAAAUAUGAAAUGAAUAAUAAAAAAAUAAUCAAAUUAACAUAACCUUUAGGUUACAAAAAAAUAUUGUAAUAAUAUAUCCAUCAAAACAAUUAUCAAAAAAAUUAAUAUGACUUAAACAAAUAUAACGAAAGCAUACCAAGAAUACAUUUAAAAUAAUUAAUCUUGAAAAUUAGAGAGACAAAGAGAAAACAAGUUUAGAAAUCCUUGGUAAGGCAUGAAAUUAUUUUUAAACUUUCAAAUGGAAAAAGUAUUAAAAAGAACCAUCGCAAACCAAUAGAUAGAAGGCUCAGAUUCAUCUUUUGUCAAUCACAAGAAGAAGAGACAAUACAUCUUCCAACCUCUUGCUCAAAUCCCAUCGUAAGAGGUAGACAUAGCUGCAGUGGUUGCCAUGCUGGCCAUCCAAACUGCCCCGCCAUCAUCCUCUCGGGAUUGGAAAACAGAGCAUUGAAGAGACAAGACAGAGUAUUUGGGCUUCAUAUUUAAGCAUAAGUAUCUGUGACUUGCCAACACCAUGGAGAUAUAAUCUGAAUCAAUAUCCAACUUGGUGAUUGCUCAAAUUCAUCUUUGACACUUAUUUAUCAUCAUAACCUCUUUAUAAUCCAAAAGCAAGACUUUGAAGAGUGAAGAUGAAAUUAAUGUAGCAAAAUUAAAAAUAAAAACAAAAAAUCAUCAAAACUUUUAAAGGUGGAAAACGAAAGGGAGGAAGAAAAGAAGUACUGCUCUUGAACAUAUUAUUUCCCUCUUGAAAGUAUUAUUUAUAUCCCCACCCCAAAAUAGACUUCAAAUCCCCAAAAUGCUUCAAACUGGAGAUAAUCAGUUUGCAAAGGAUAAAUAUAAGACUCUAAUAGCUUAGCAUUAUGCUUGUGAUGCCAAAAAAAGUGAAAGCAACUUUCCAUGGCAGCUAUCCCAACAUGAAUGAUAGCAAAAUAGCAAACCACAAGAAACAAAUUAUUUGAGAAAACAACUAGUCCAACAACUAGAUAAAGUAUGUCUCGUUGCAUUUAGCAAUAAUGAUAUACCCAAACCUGAAAAUGCUUCAUAUUAAUAAAUCCAUGACAAAAGUGAGCAGAUAACUUUAUCCCAUGGAAAAGUUAUACAAAUAAGAAAUCAUAAAUCCUACCAGCAUCCUCUCAAGUUCCCACCAAAGAAUUGUAGUCACCCAGAAUUUAAUCACAGAUUUCAAAUAAAUACAAAAUGGAGCCUUUAGACUUUCUUUUACCAGACCAACUAUCUCAUUGCUAUAUUUUUUCCUCAAAAUGAUUUUUAACAGCAUGAUAUUAAUCCUUUAAAGUACUUAAAAUGUUAAAAUAAAGAAAUCUUGAAGAUAACAUGUAAACAUUUCAUCAAAN
rnacentral:lncRNA from 1 species